UUAACUUCGGUUAAUUUUAGUGGCGGACGGGUGAGUAACACGUGAGAAUUCGCCUUUAGGAGGGGGAUAACGGAUGGAAACAUUCGCUAAAACCCCAUAUGCCCCUGGGUGAAACAGAGGAGAUAAGUAAUACUGACUCUUACCUCUGCCUGAAGAGAAGCUCGCGGCUGAUUAGCUAGUUGGUAGGGUAAAGGCCUACCAAGGCGACGAUCAGUAGCUGGUCUGAGAGGACGAUCAGCCACACUGGAACUGAGACACGGUCCAGACUCCUACGGGAGGCAGCAGUGAGGAAUUUUCUGCAAUGGGCGAAAGCCUGACAGAGCAAUACCGCGUGAGGGAUGAAGACUUACUGAGUUGUAAACCUCGGUACCUUAAGGAAGAAGAUCUGACGGUACUUAAGGUGGAAAGCAUCGGCUAACUCCGUGCCAGCAGCCGCGGUAAGACGGGGGAUGCAAGUGUUAUCCGGAUUUACUGGGCGUAAAGCGUCUGCAGGUGGUUUUCUAAGUCUACUGUUAAAUCUUGAGGCUCAACCUCAAAUCUGCAGUACAAACUAGAAGACUUGAGUAUAGUAGGGGUAGAGGGAAUUUCCAGUGGAGCGGUGAAAUGCGUAGAUAUUGGAAAGAACACCGAUGGCGAAGGCACUCUACU
rnacentral:rRNA from 1 species